AGUGAAAUUGUUGGAUCAUAUGGUAAUUCUAUGUUUAGCUUUUUGAGGAACUGCCAAACUGUUUUCUGAAGAGGCUGCACCAUUUUACACUUCUACCAGCAAU
rnacentral:pre_miRNA from 1 species